rnacentral:rRNA from 1 species
AUGUGACUGUGGAUCGAGCCCAUGUGAAGCCUCUUCGAUGAGUCGAGUUGUUUGGGAAUGCAGCUCAAAAUGGGUGGUAAAUUUCAUCUAAAGCUAAAUACUGGCUGGAGACCGAUAGCGCACAAGUAGAGUGAUCGAAAGAUGAAAAGCACUUUGGAAAGAGAGUCAAACAGUACGUGAAAUUGUUGAAAGGGAAGCGCUUGCAACCAGACCUGUCCGUAGGUGAUCAGCCGCUGUUCUCAGUGGUGCACUCGCUCUGCGAUCAGGCCAGCAUCGGUUCGGGCGGUCGGAUAAAGGCCUUGGGAAUGUAGCUCCCUUCGGGGAGUCUUAUAGCCCUCGGUGAAAUGCGGCCAGCCGGGACCGAGGACCGCGCUUCGGCUAGGAUGCUGGCGUAAUGGUUGUAAGCGACCCGUCUUGAAACACGGACCAAGGAGUCUAACAUCUAUGCGAGUGUUUGGGUGUUAAACCCAUGCGCGGAAUGAAAGUGAACGGAGGUGAGAACCCUUAAGGGCGCAUCAUCGACCGAUCCAGAUGUCUUCGGAUGGAUUUGAGUAUGAGCAUAGCUGUUGGGACCCGAAAGAUGGUGAAC